AACAGCCGCGGUAAUUCCAGCUCCAAUAGCGUAUAUUAAAGUUGUUGCAGUUAAAAAGCUCGUAGUUGAACUUCGGGGUUUACCCAUUGGUCAGGCUUAAUUGUCUGUACUGGUGAGAUGAAUCUCUACCUUCUGAGGAACUUUCAUGCCAUUUAUUUGGUGUGAUGGGAAAUCAGGACUGUUACUUUGAAAAAUUAGAGUGUUUAAAGCAGGCUAACGUCUGAAUACAUUAGCAUGGAAUAAUGAAAUAGGACGGACUGAUUCUAUUUCGUUGGUUUCUAGGAUCACCGUAAUGAUUAAUAGGGAUAGUUGGGGGCAUUAGUAUUCAAUUGUCAGAGGUGAAAUUCUUGGAUUUAUUGAAGACUAACUACUGCGAAAGCAUUUGCCAAGGAUGUUUUCAUUAAUCAAGAACGAAAGUUAGGGGAUCGAAGACGAUCAGAUACCGUCGUAGUCUUAACCAUAAACUAUGCCGACUAGGGAUCGGACGAAGUUAAUUUUAUAAUGACGCGUUCGGCACC
rnacentral:rRNA from 1 species